rnacentral:lncRNA from 1 species
UUUCUUUUAGUAGUGCGUUCUCUUCUGGGUGUCUUUUUUGCUGGAACUUUUCCAUCCCCAGCCUUUCACCUCCCCUUUUGUCUCUCUGCGAAUCUUACGCUGCUCGAUUCCUUUCUGGCCCUGAAAGGUGUUGGACAUUGGCCGCUUCUCCCAACCUCGCGUCCCUUUCUUGCUCUCUGCUUCAUUUUUAUUUUUUUUAAAAAUAACAAUGAGAGUUUUUGUGUGCUGUUUGGAUCUUGGAUCCGAUAAAUUUGGUCUGUUGGAUUUCACGGGGCCCAUGUCUGAUGUGAUCCCCCCUUUUCUUUCGCUCCACUAGCAUUGGAAACGUCCCUCUCUCUCUCUC